rnacentral:rRNA from 1 species
UAAGGAAUAUUGGUCAAUGGGCGGAAGCCUGAACCAGCCAUGCCGCGUGGAGGAUGAAGGUCCUCUGGAUUGUAAACUUCUUUUAUCAGGGGCGAAAAAGGGCCAUUCUUGGUCAACUGACGGUACCUGAUGAAUAAGCACCGGCUAACUCCGUGCCAGCAGCCGCGGUAAUACGGAGGGUGCAAGCGUUAUCCGGAUUUACUGGGUUUAAAGGGAGCGUAGGCGGGUAUGUAAGUCAGAGGUGAAAGC